GACGAACGCUGGCGGCGUGCUUAACACAUGCAAGUCGAACGGAAAGGCCCUGCUUUUGUGGGGUGCUCGAGUGGCGAACGGGUGAGUAACACGUGAGUAACCUGCCCUUGACUUUGGGAUAACUUCAGGAAACUGGGGCUAAUACCGGAUAGGAGCUCCUGCUGCAUGGUGGGGGUUGGAAAGUUUCGGCGGUUGGGGAUGGACUCGCGGCUUAUGAGCUUGUUGGUGGGGUAGUGGCUUACCAAGGCUUUGACGGGUAGCCGGCCUGGGAGGUGGGACGGGGUCAAUAGGACUACGGUAGGCAGCAGUGGGGAACAUGAGGCACUAGGGGGGAGCCUGACACAACGGUGGGGAGUGUGUUGCGGCGGCCCUCCGGUCGGGAAGACCGUCUGGGUGGUAGGAACCGCAGUAGCCUAAUACCAUGCUGUUUUGACGUUAAUAAAUGAAUAAGCACCGGCUAACUUCGUG
rnacentral:rRNA from 1 species